AGGGUGAAGGGAUUACUGUAAUGCUUUGCUGUAAAUUUCAAACCAACAGUCAUUUUUCUCUUAUUUUUAGGCACUGUGGACACUGAAAUAGUAUAUAUGGUCCCUGCUUUCAUAAAGCUACUAUCCUUAUGGAGAGAAUAGAAGACUGAAAAAUUUAAUUUUUUUCACCUGGUAUCCUGUUGAAGUAUAUUAGCAGCUUGGGAAAAAAGUAACAUACUGCAAAAUAUAGUAAAUGACUGAGACUGUAACUCUAGAUACUAUUUACAGCCAACAAAGUACAGGAGGGACAUAUAUUGAUUCUUAGUAUAUAAAUGUUUAAAAAACUGAAAUUAAAGCUGGCCAUGAAAUGGAUUACUGUGUCAAUCAGUAGGACUCAUAGGUCACAUCAAACAAGGAGAUCCAAGGAGCAAGGGAUGGAAGUCAAAAUGAAAACCAUAUUGGAUUAAAGGCACAAAGCUGGUGCCAGACACCUAGGCCAGGUUGGCCAUUAUCUGAUGGUCCCUAGUCUUGCCCAUAUCAGUGACUAGAACCAUCAUUUACCUAGUUGCUAAAGACAGAAACUUGAAAGUCAAUUAUGAUGCCUCCUUUUUCCUAGAUCCCCCAUACCCACCAAACGAUCAUGAGCAAGUCCUGCCAGCUUUACGUUAAAAAUAUACCUUGAUUCUAUUCCCUUCUCUCCAUUUCCACUGGCACCACACCAGUCCAAACAACAUUGAUUCUUGGCUGCACUAUUCUGAUUCCUUUCCUUUCACGCUUGACCUCAUCCAAUCCUUUACCCACAGGGCAGCCAGACACUCUUUCAAAAAGGUAAGUCACUUUCAAUUACUGUUUGAAAACUUUCAGUGUCUUCCAGAAAUAACUUAAAAUACAAUCCAAACUUCUCACUUGCACGCUCUGGCUCCUAGGAACUCCGAAUUUCAUCAUUACAUCACUAAGCUUUGCUCCCUCAUUCACUAUAGUCCAGCUACAAACGUCCUCUGUCAAGAUGUGGAAAACUCUUUUCUCAGCUCAGAGCCAUCUGCUCUUUCUUGUUUUUGGAAAACUGUUCACAUUCUGGCUUAUCCUCAUCCUUCUGAUGGCAGUUUAAAUAUCAAUUCUUUAAAGAGACUUUCUUUGACUUCUUUAUCUGAAAUAGGUCCCUGGUGGCUCAGUGGUAAAUAACAUGCCUACCAAUGCAGGAGACAUUGGAGACGUAGGUUUGAUCUCUAGGUCAGGAAGAUACUCUGGAGGAGGAAAUGGCAACCCACUCCAGUAUCCCAGCCUGGAGAAUCCCAUGGACAAAGGAGCCUGGUGAGCUAUAUUAUAUAGGGUUGCAAAGAGUCAGACAUAACUUAGUGACUGGGCACAUCUUCAAUAGCAACUAGGUUAUUUUCCUUAUAGUAGUAAUCACGAGUAAAUAGCUAUCACUUAUUUACUUAUUUUGUAUGUUUUCACACCCAAAUAUAGUGAUUUUUAUUCCAAGCACCUGGGUUGUGCCUGGAAAAUACUAAGCAUCUAAUACAUCACUUCAUGGGAAAUAGAUGGGGAAACAGUGGAAACAGUGUCAG
ensembl:lncRNA